GGGGGUGUAGCUCAGUUGGGAGAGCACCUGCCUUGCAAGCAGGGGGCCAAGAGUUCGAAUCUCUCCAUCUCCA
rnacentral:tRNA from 1 species